AACAGAGUGCACAGUGGUUUACUUUUGUUCUGACGAUCAGUUUGGACGUUAAUAGACGCUCACAUGUGAACUGCACCUUAACUGUCAGCCUUUUCGUGACAGACAGCAUUCUUCACACACACAAGCCACAUGAAUUUCUUAAAGGAAGCUAUCUACUGUUAUCUGGCUCACAGCUCAACUUGACAUCAGUGGGUAUCUAAUAAAAGAAACUGAAUUCAGUGGAAGAGGCAUGUUGUUAUUCUUAUAAAAAGCACAUAUAUGAUCAGCUACAGUAACAUUGAUUCCACAAGAACAAAUUAAGAGACAGAGCGGUGCUUAAAGUACAUUCUUUGUGAAUCCCCACCACUUCCUGUAAAGAGCAACAUCCUUACUUGUUUCUCAAGAGUGCACUUCUCUUAACAGAGUUGUUGUAAAAUGAAAAAGAAGCAUUUGAAAUUACUCGUCAUAGCACUAGCUAGCAGCUUUUGCCUGUUCUUUUUCUUUUCCAAACUAAAGGAUGUGGAACACAAACAAAGAGACCUGGCCAAGAUCACUUCAUUUCCAGAUACAACUACAACUGUAGUUAUCAGCAAUACCAAAAAGAAAACCAAAAGUGUUAUGCCAUAUGAACUUCCACCCCUUACAAUUUCUGAGACUUUCAGAAAAGACAUUCCCAAAAAUGGUGCUUUCUGGAACCGGAAGCUUCAUUCUCUCCUCAGGCAGUUUGAUUCCACUGCCAAUCAAACAGAGAAAGACCCACAUGACAAGUUUCUCUGUCAGCCUGAGAGUUUUGAGUUGAUAAAAACCAACAUUCAAGAUGUCCAUUUGUACCCUCCACUUUAUGAAGACUUCCUUAGAGGCAUGGAGUGUCGAGACCCACCGCUUCUUAUCAAUCAGCCUGACAAGUGCGCAUCAGAGAAUGAAGAGGAUCAAAUUUUCCUCCUUUUUGCGAUCAAAUCUAUCCCAAGGAACUUCGAGAGGCGCCAAGCAAUCCGAGAGACCUGGGGAAGAGGAGGCUUGUAUGAAAAAAGACUUCAGGUACGAACUGUCUUUCUGCUGGGACGAUCAUCUGCGGAUGAUCCCAAUCUCGAUAAACUGGUUUCAUUUGAAGCCCAGCAGUUUCAAGACCUUCUCGUCUGGGAUUUUCAGGACUCUUUUUACAACCUUACUCUAAAAGAGCAUGUGUUCUUCAAGUGGAUGCUUGAUAACUGUCCACACGUAUCUUUCGUUUUUAAGGGUGACGAUGAUGUUUUUGCUAACACUCAAGCAAUUCUGAAUCAUCUAAAGACUCUGGAGCCUGAACAGGUCACGGCAUUGUACACGGGGCAGAUCAUUUUUAAUGCCAACCCAUUACGGGACCCUAAAAUCAAAUAUUAUGUUCCUCAGUCAUUCUAUGAAGGUCCUUACCCUCCUUAUGCUGGUGGCGGUGGAUUCCUAUUUUCUGGAAACCUUCUUCCUUCUCUUUACCAAGUCUCCUUUUACAUACCCUUCUUCCCUAUUGAUGAUGUCUACAAUGGGAUGUGCUUCAAGGCACUUGGAAUCACUGCAACGCAAAACGACGGAUUCAAGACCUUUGACAUUCGGGAAGAAGAUCGAGAGAACCCCUGUGUACACAAAGACCUGUUCCUGGUGCACCAACGUGACUCUGGCCAGACUAUAAGACUGUGGAGAAAUAUGCACAGCACCAUGCUGACCUGCUGAUAUUUGUAAACUAUUAAACACCAUUAUGUUCAGCUGUUAUGGUUGAUUAAACCCUUGUCGGAAAAGAACAAGCUGGUGAAAUUUUUUGGGGGCAAAAUGGGGCGAGUACAGAGCAUUAAAGUACCUCUUAAGAGACCCCAACACCAUCAUAUCUUAUGUUUCUGUACAAUUGACAAUGCGUGAGGUUUACUCUAGGUUUAAUUUGUACAGGUUAUCUAACAAAGUUGGGUGGGGUUAAGUCAUCAUGCUCAUGUCAUUCCAAACUCGUACAAAACAAGUUUUGCUUGGAAAACAUAUUUAGAAGUGUGUGUUAGAUGUUUUUGUUCUUAUGAAAAUGAAUAGAAUCCAAAUCUUUACACCCCCCCCCAACAGAAAUAGUGAAGUGGCUUGUUGUUGUAUGGUGAGUGAAUCACGAUUUAAAAUGUGCUAUUUUAUUCACUCUCUCUCCAAAAAAAAAAGGCAUGUAGACACAAACCUUAAAAUGAUACAGGGAUAGUUUACCCAGAAAGUAGAAAUCAUGUACUCUACUUGGUGAAAGUCAAUGGCUACCAUUCUUUAAAAUGCCCCAUUUUGUGG